UCCCAGAUGGUCUAGUGGUCAUGAGUUAGCAUUUCCAACACCCUAAAUUAUUCAUCUCUAAUCUAAUUCGUACAGUUUCCGCCUGUCAAUUCGUCGGGCGCGGGAGACCAGGGUUCGAUUCCCUGUCUGGGAG